UCUCCCAUUAGACACAUUAACUAACAACUCCUAAAAGCUCAUGCCGACUAAGAAAUGUGUCAUCUUAGCCGGGACAGAUAGAGUAUUAGAUAAGAGGAACAAUAAUGGUUCACAUCUACCCCUGUGGUGACGCGAACCUCUUAUCUAUUGGUUAGAGGGGAAGUGUCUUACAAGCUGAAUUGCACUUCAUCGUCAAGCUUCUUGAUGCAAGUCAUAUGAUCUGAUUCUCCAUCCACUAUUUCUAGAGUACUAAUGUGAUUGGGUAGGGAUCUAAUGAUAAUUAGAUAGGCCCCAUGCUUUAGAGUUUAACCCUAUACUAUUAGAUAAGUGAAAAAUACAGAUUUUGCAUGUUUUAAGUCCUAGAUUUGGCUUGUUUUCAAUGUCAAUCAUGCAAAAUAUGUUAUUUAAUUGCAAUAUUUGUACAAUUUGAUGUUUUGAUUUGUUUUGUGAGAAAUGUGCAAAAUAGACUUGGAAAAGAGCAUAAAUAGAUUGAAAUUGAAGUUAUGAGGAUUCAGACCAUUUCAGCCGUCUGCUGACCCACUGGUCAGCGACCGUCUAGCUUUCCAACAUUCGAUGGAGGCCCAACGGUCCAUAGCGAAAAUUAAGCCAGAGCCAACCUCCUGCCUAGCGGUCCGCCGAGUUCAAUGCUGAGAGUCUAGGUGCAAGUCAACGACCCACUGAGAAGAUGUUAGCGGUCCACUGGUUUCGUGCGGCGAGAGGAAAACCUUCAGUCUAAAGAGUGGCACUAUUCAUGAAAAAAUGAAUCAUGGUGAAGAAGAAGAAGAAGACGUGGUUGAAGGAAAAAGAAAAGAGAGAGAGAUUUAAGAAAGAAGUGGCGACCAAUGCGAAAAAGAAGGAAAAUGGCCAAAUAGAAGAAUUUCCACCCGUUGAAAGCUCACGACUGAGCAAGUGGAUGAAGAAUACGAAUAAGCUCAUUUCUACAAUAUUGCCAAAGAGCAAUGAUGCGGAUUACAUCUUCUGGUUCAGGAGAUGCAACAACGUAAAAAAAGCACUAGAGAAGAGGAAAGCAAGAGCCAUAAUUGGAGGGCAAUAUUGUAAAUCUUGAGUCAGACCAAAUCACUUGGUCGAGUGACAAUCAUGCCUCUAGACCACUCGGCCGAGUGGUGUUUCUACCAAAACCUACUUGGCCCGAGUAAAGUUUAUGCCAAAACUCACUCGACUCGAGUCAUACUGAGAGAAAUGAAGUCAGAGAAUUCCACUAAACCGAGUGGACUCUACACCUUUUCAAUACUUGGUAGAGUAACAAUCAUCUAUAUUAAUCUUUUUAAAUUGAGAACUUCACUCA